UACGGGGGGGGCAAGCGUUGUUCGGAAUUACUGGGCGUAAAGGGCUCGUAGGCGGCCAACUAAGUCGGAUGUGAAAUCCCCAGGCUCAACCUGGGAACUGCAUCCGAUACUGGAUGGCUUGAAUCCGGGAGAGGGAUGCAGAAUUCCAGGUGUAGCGGUGAAAUGCGUAGAUAUCUGGAGGAACACCGGUGGCGAAGGCGGGUCUCUGGGCAACAACUGACGCUGAGGAGCGAAAGCGUGGGGAGCGAACAGG
rnacentral:rRNA from 1 species